rnacentral:rRNA from 1 species
AUACGUAGGGUGCGAGCGUUGUCCGGAAUUACUGGGCGUAAAGAGCUCGUAGGUGGUUUGUCGCGUCGUCUGUGAAAUUCCGGGGCUUAACUCCGGGCGUGCAGGCGAUACGGGCAUAACUUGAGUACUGUAGGGGAGACUGGAAUUCCUGGUGUAGCGGUGAAAUGCGCAGAUAUCAGGAGGAACACCGGUGGCGAAGGCGGGUCUCUGGGCAUUAACUGACGCUGAGGAGCGAAAGCAUGGGUAGCGAACAGGAUUAGAUACCCUGGUAGUCCAUGCCGUAAACGGUGGGCGCUAGGUGUAGGGGUCUUCCACGACUUCUGUGCCGUAGCUAACGCAUUAAGCGCCCCGCCUGGGGAGUACGGCCGCAAGGCUAAAACUCAAAUGAAUUGACGGGG